rnacentral:lncRNA from 1 species
CUGCUGUUGUGCAUGUGUGGCAAGUUGUUCUUCCACAGCUGCUGUUUUAUGCACGUGUGGCUUAUCAGUCAAAGUGAAAGGUGAAGUGAGGACGCACACAGUCCCUCAUUGGAAAAUAGAAUAAGGCUUCCAUCUGGUGGUCAAUGAUAAUCAGUGAGUUUGAGACAAAACUUUGGCAUAUUAUCAUGUAACUUUUAUGCAAAAUAUCAAUAUGUCCCAUGUGUUAUUUAGUUAGACUGGUGAAAUUAAAGGUGGCCUAACAUUACGUUUCCUCAUUGAAAAAGCGUUAUACUGUAUGGAUAGUUUAGGACCUGGUCUUCAAUAAUGAGUUUGUGAGCCAAGUACUGUAUUUGAAACGGUUUAAUUCAAGAAUAUGUACGAAACAUCAAGCUAUUUCAUUUUGAAGGAAUUCAUUCAUUCAGUGGGUGUGGCUUGAUCCGAGGGUUUUGAAUAUAAUCCUUUGAAAUCGAAAGUAGGAAAGUUUGAGGAAAUAGAGAAGUGUCCAACGACGGACCUUUUACUUUAAACAAUACGCGCAACCGUUCGCUCAAAAUGUCGAAAUCGUCCGUAAUGAAAAUAAAACGCGUGAACGCAGUAAAGACUCUGCAACGUUCAAGAAAGUUUGGUAACUGAACAUGGCCCAGGGGU